AGAGUUUGAUCAUGGCUCAGGACGAACGCUGGCGGCGUGCUUAACACAUGCAAGUCGAGCGGAAAGGCUCCUUCGGGGGUACUCGAGCGGCGAACGGGUGAGUAACACGUGAGUAGUCUGCCCUUGGCUUUGGGAUAACUACCGGAAACGGUGGCUAAUACCGGAUACGACCACUCCUUGCAUGAGGUGGUGGUGGAAAGUUUUUUCGGCCAGGGAUGUGCUCGCGGCCUAUCAGCUUGUUGGUGGGGUAAUGGCCUACCAAGGCUUCGACGGGUAGCCGGCCUGAGAGGGUGACCGGCCACACUGGGACUGAGACACGGCCCAGACUCCUACGGGAGGCAGCAGUGGGGAAUAUUGGACAAUGGGCGGAAGCCUGAUCCAGCAACGCCGCGUGAGGGAUGACGGCCUUCGGGUUGUAAACCUCUUUCAGUACCGACGAAGCGCCGAUGAUGGUGGUGACGGUAGGUACAGAAGAAGCACCGGCCAACUACGUG
rnacentral:rRNA from 1 species